CAGCUUAGGUCCUUUAAUUUGUCCCAUAAUAGGAAAACCAAUGUUGGUUUUCUCAGGGCAUCUUAGUUUAUCGAAGGAACGGUGCCAAAAUCAUGUGAUAAGCAUCACUUUUCCUAUCUCUUCUUUGUCUACUAGAGAUUCUAUCAGAGGAAAUAUGCAAGAAUAUUAUAUUUGCUUCAGACGCCUGAAAAUACAAUACACUAUAAAGUACCGAAAAUGUGAUUCCAGCUUGACAAUAUCUUAGAAGUGGCCCAUGUAUCUCUUUUUGAAAUGACUUUAAUAAUGACUGACUUUAAUAAUGUCAGGAAGGAAGGAUUUCAACAGCAGGCAAGCUGUGAUGAACGAACCUGAGGAACAAUGGAGCUAUUGACAAAACAUGCUAACUUUUAGAAUUCUAUCUAAAUUAUUACUUUUCUUUCCGGUGCAGAGGGAGACAUGCAAGUGUAUCAAUGUUCAUCAAACUCGGGGUAAUAAAAAUAUUUCGCUCCCGUCAAUUGUUCCUGCUAGCUAUUUAGAUGAAAUAAAUGGAAUAUCACUUAAUAGGCACAGGCGUUGAUACAAUUUCC
rnacentral:lncRNA from 1 species